UACGGAGGGUGCAAGCGUUAUCCGGAAUCAUUGGGUUUAAAGGGUCCGUAGGCGGAUGAUUAAGUCAGAGGUGAAAUCCCACAGCUUAACUGUGGAACUGCCUUUGAUACUGGUUAUCUUGAGUUACAUUGAAGUAGAUAGAAUGUGUAGUGUAGCGGUGAAAUGCUUAGAUAUUACACAGAAUACCGAUUGCGAAGGCAGUCUACUAAAUGUACACUGACGCUGAGGGACGAAAGCGUGGGGAGCGAACAGG
rnacentral:rRNA from 1 species